AUUGAACGCUGGCGGCAUGCUUUACACAUGCAAGUCGAACGGUAACAGGUCUUCGGAUGCUGACGAGUAGCGAACGGGUGAGUAAUACAUCGGAACGUGCCUAGUAGUGGGGGAUAACUACUCGAAAGAGUGGCUAAUACCGCAUGAGAUCUACGGAUGAAAGCAGGGGAUCGCAAGACCUUGUGCUACUAGAGCGGCCGAUGGCAGAUUAGGUAGUUGGUGGGAUAAAAGCUUACCAAGCCGACGAUCUGUAGCUGGCCUGAGAGGACGAUCAGCCACACUGGGACUGAGACACGGCCCAGACUCCUACGGGAGGCAGCAGUGGGGAAUUUUGGACAAUGGGCGAAAGCCUGAUCCAGCAAUGCCGCGUGCAGGAUGAAGGCCUUCGGGUUGUAAACUGCUUUUGUACGGAACGAAAAGCCCUGGGUUAAUACCCUGGGGUCAUGACGGUACCGUAAGAAUAAGCACCGGCUAACUACGUGCCAGCCGCCGCCGUAACAC
rnacentral:rRNA from 1 species